AUUGAACGCUGGCGGCAGGCCUAACACAUGCAAGUCGAGCGGAUGAAGGGAGCUUGCUCCUGGAUUCAGCGGCGGACGGGUGAGUAAUGCCUAGGAAUCUGCCUGGUAGUGGGGGAUAACGUCCGGAAACGGGCGCUAAUACCGCAUACGUCCUGAGGGAGAAAGUGGGGGAUCUUCGGACCUCACGCUAUCAGAUGAGCCUAGGUCGGAUUAGCUAGUUGGUGGGGUAAAGGCCUACCAAGGCGACGAUCCGUAACUGGUCUGAGAGGAUGAUCAGUCACACUGGAACUGAGACACGGUCCAGACUCCUACGGGAGGCAGCAGUGGGGAAUAUUGGACAAUGGGCGAAAGCCUGAUCCAGCCAUGCCGCGUGUGUGAAGAAGGUCUUCGGAUUGUAAAGCACUUUAAGUUGGGAGGAAGGGCAGUAACUUAAUACCUUGCUGUUUUGACGUUACCAACAGAAUAAGCACCGGCUAACUUCGUG
rnacentral:rRNA from 1 species